CACCUCGGAUCGCUCUGGAAGGAAAUAAAAAAAGGCACCGAAAGCGGUGACGAGGUCGCGACUGGCGGAAGCGGCGACAAGGUCAGAUCCCCCGAUGGAAGCGGCGGCGACCCGGCGACCGUACGCCGACCACCUCGCUCUCAGACCCUCCUUCCUCAUCGAGUUCGACGAGAUCAGCGCCGGCCCCAUCCAGAUGGUCCAUCAGCUUAACUCAUUUGAGCUGCCGGGCAGCCGUGUGCAAUCACAAGGAUUUCUUCACAUGGAUGUUGAUCGUGCCCGCGGCUGUGUGCAGUCAGAAGGACUUGGUGCUAUUGAUGACGAUCGUGCUCGCAGUCGUGGGCAAUCACAAGGACUUGGUGAUAUUGAUGACAAUCACGGGGCUGUUGAGUAUCCUCGUGAGAAUAUUAACUUAAUGAAGUAGAAUAUCAAUAUCAGAAGCACAUGAAUGAUGAUACCUAGUACCACGGUAUGGAGCAAGAAAUUGGGGUGUGUUUGCAUAACCAGCAUCAACAAGCAAGGGGAAGAUGAAAGCAUAGAGCACAGGCAGCAAGGGGAAGAUGAAAGAAUAGAGCACAGGCAGCAAAUGCUGUGGGCAGGGAAAAGAGCUAUCCGUUGUAGAGAGUAGCAUCAGGUUAUAUAGGCACUUGCUGCUAACGGCUACUUCAGGCAGUUGACUGCACUAGCCGUUGGAAGUUUGAAAAACAUCAGACUUACAAAUAGAAAUAAUAAUACUUUAUUGUAUAGGAUUCCUGUACGUCUCCUAUGAUGCAGCCAAAGGCACUUUGUUACCAGUUCCUCUGGAUUUGCAUUCCAUAGGAUUGGCUAUGUCAUGGCAGUCAAAUCCUCCAUUUUCCCUA